GGCUCAGAUGAAACGCGGGCGGCAUGCCUUACACAUGCAAGUCGAACGGUAACGCGGGGCAACCUGGCGACGAGUGGCGAACGGGUGAGUAAUAUAUCGGAACGUGCCCAGUAGUGGGGGAUAGCCCGGCGAAAGCCGGAUUAAUACCGCAUACGACCUACGGGUGAAAGCGGGGGAUCGCAAGACCUCGCGCUAUUGGAGCGGCCGAUAUCAGAUUAGGUAGUUGGUGGGGUAAAAGCCUACCAAGCCAACGAUCUGUAGCUGGUCUGAGAGGACGACCAGCCACACUGGGACUGAGACACGGCCCAGACUCCUGCGGGAGGCAGCAGUGGGGAAUUUUGGACAAUGGGCGCAAGCCUGAUCCAGCCAUGCCGCGUGCGGGAAGAAGGCCUUCGGGUUGUAAACCGCUUUUGUCGGGGAAGAAACGCUCUGGGCUAAUACCCCGGGGUAAUGACGGUACCCGAAGAAUAAGCACCGGCUAACUACGUGCCAGCAGCCGCGGUAAUACGUAGGGUGCAAGCGUUAAUCGGAAUUACUGGGCGUAAAGCGUGCGCAGGCGGUCUUGCAAGACAGAUGUGAAAUCCCCGGGCUUAACCUGGGAACUGCAUUUGUGACUGCAAGGCUGGAGUGCGGCAGAGGGGGAUGGAAUUCCGCGUGUAGCAGUGAAAUGCGUAGAUAUGCGGAGGAACACCGAUGGCGAAGGCAAUCCCCUGGGCCUGCACUGACGCUCAUGCACGAAAGCGUGGGGAGCAAACAGGAUUAGAUACCCUGGUAGUCCACGCCCUAAACGAUGUCAACUGGUUGUUGGGAAGGUUCCUUCUCAGUAACGUAGCUAACGCGUGAAGUUGACCGCCUGGGGAGUACGGCCGCAAGG
rnacentral:rRNA from 1 species